rnacentral:lncRNA from 1 species
AUGGACGAAAGAACAGGACAGGACCGAGGCCUUGCCCUCUCAUGUUGUCACCAACUUGACAGCCCAGCAGAUGUGUCCAGGGCAGACACGUUCCCAUUCCAGAGGCAUUGGAACCACUGGCACUUCCAGCAUGGAUGUUUUGAUUCCCACCUCUGUGGCCACGGCCCUGAUCACAUAUUCUCACAGCAGUCAACAGCUCGAGGGCUCACAGAUAACUCCUCUUACCUUCUCCUCACGUGGCUGGUACUGUUAAACACAGUCCUGGUGAUCGGGUGCCUGGCCUGUUAUAGAUCUCUUGUUUGCUGCGAGAUGAGGAGCUAUAAAGCUGCUGGGAUCAAAUCUACAGAGGACAAAUUUACUUUGCUGGGGGACCAAGUAAAAUCGAAAUCUGCCCACCUGAAAAGCCUGCAGUGUUGGGGGAAGAGCACGUGCUUGGGGUCAGGGCAAAGAGAAGCACCUGGAGCAAGGGGAAGCUGUGGUUUCAAAAUCGCACCUCUGAUCUGCAGUAGCUCCUGGCCUUGGGGAAGGAUGUCACUCAGGGGUGUCCUUUGGGGAACAGGGGUACACAGAAGCAGUGCCCAGGGAACUCACACUCCAGAAUGA